GACGAACGCUGGCGGCGUGCUUAACACAUGCAAGUCGAGCGGUAAGGCCCUUUCGGGGGUACACGAGCGGCGAACGGGUGAGUAACACGUGGGUGACCUGCCCUCAGCUCUGGGGAUAAGCCUGGGAAACUGGGUCUAAUACUGGAUAUGACUCCACGGUGCGAUGUCGUGGGGUGGAAAGCCUUGUGCGGCUGAGGAUGGGCCCGCGGCCUAUCAGCUUGUUGGUGGGGUGAUGGCCUACCAAGGCGACGACGGGUAGCCGGCCUGAGAGGGCGACCGGCCACACUGGGACUGAGACACGGCCCAGACUCCUACGGGAGGCAGCAGUUGGGGAAUCUUGCGCAAUGGGCGAAAGCCUGACGCAGCGACGCCGCGUGAGGGAUGACGGCCUCGGUGUAA
rnacentral:rRNA from 1 species